CCCGCACAAGCGGUGGAGCAUGUGGUUUAAUUCGAUGCAACGCGAAGAACCUUACCUGGUCUUGACAUCCACAGAACUUUCCAGAGAUGGAUUGGUGCCUUCGGGAACUGUGAGACAGGUGCUGCAUGGCUGUCGUCAGCUCGUGUUGUGAAAUGUUGGGUUAAGUCCCGCAACGAGCGCAACCCUUAUCCUUUGUUGCCAGCGGUCCGGCCGGGAACUCAAAGGAGACUGCCAGUGAUAAACUGGAGGAAGGUGGGGAUGACGUCAAGUCAUCAUGGCCCUUACGACCAGGGCUACACACGUGCUACAAUGGCGCAUACAAAGAGAAGCGACCUCGCGAGAGCAAGCGGACCUCAUAAAGUGCGUCGUAGUCCGGAUUGGAGUCUGCAACUCGACUCCAUGAAGUCGGAAUCGCUAGUAAUCGUGGAUCAGAAUGCCACGGUGAAUACGUUCCCGGGCCUUGUACACACCGCCCGUCACACC
rnacentral:rRNA from 1 species